UAACACGUAGAUAAUCUAUCCUAUACUGGGGGAUAGCCCGAUGAAAGUUGGAUUAAUACCGCAUAUAGCUAUAUAGUUGCAUGAUUAUGUAGUGAAAGAUUUAUUGGUAUUGGAGGAGUCUGCGGCACAUUAGCUAGUAGGUGAGGUAAAGGCUUACCUAGGCGACGAUGUGUAGCCGGUCUGAGAGGAUGAACGGCCACAAUGGAACUGAGACACGGUCCAUACUCCUACGGGAGGCAGCAGUGGGGAAUAUUGCACAAUGGGGGAAACCCUGAUGCAGCAACGCCGCGUGAGUGAAGAAGGUUUUCGGAUUGUAAAGCUCUGUUAGCAGGGAAGAGGAAGGACGGUACCUGCAGAGGAAGCCACGGCUAACUACGUGCCAGCAGCCGCGGUAAUACGUAGGUGGCAAGCGUUGUUCGGAAUAACUGGGCGUAAAGGAUGCGUAGGCGGUUAAACAAGUUAUAUGUUAAAUAUAUAGGCUUAACCUGUAGAAAGCAUAUAAAACUGUUUAACUAGAGUGCAGGAGAGGUAAGUGGAAUUCCUAGUUGUAGCGGUGAAAUG
rnacentral:rRNA from 1 species